AGUGAACGCUGGCGGUAGGCCUAACACAUGCAAGUCGAACGGCAGCACAGUAAGAGCUUGCUCUUACGGGUGGCGAGUGGCGGACGGGUGAGGAAUACAUCGGAAUCUACUUUUUCGUGGGGGAUAACGUAGGGAAACUUACGCUAAUACCGCAUACGACCUACGGGUGAAAGCAGGGGAUCUUCGGACCUUGCGCGAUUGAAUGAGCCGAUGUCGGAUUAGCUAGUUGGCGGGGUAAAGGCCCACCAAGGCGACGAUCCGUAGCUGGUCUGAGAGGAUGAUCAGCCACACGGGAACUGAGACACGGUCCAGACUACUACGGGAGGCAGCAGUGGGGAAUAUUGGACAAUGGGCGCAAGCCUGAUCCAGCCAUACCGCGUGGGUGAAGAAGGCCUUCGGGUUGUAAAGCCCUUUUGUUGGGAAAGAAAAGCAGCAGGUUAAUACCCCGCUGUUCUGACGGUACCCAAAGAAUAAGCACCGGCUAACUUCGUG
rnacentral:rRNA from 1 species